rnacentral:rRNA from 1 species
UACAGAGGGGGCAAGCGUUGUUCGGAAUUACUGGGCGUAAAGGGCGCGUAGGCGGUCCUGAUCGUCGGAUGUGAAAGGCCUGGGCUCAACCUGGGAACUGCAUCCGAUACGGCGGGACUGGAGUGUGGGAGAGGUUGGUGGAAUUCCCAGUGUAGAGGUGAAAUUCGUAGAUAUUGGGAAGAACACCAGUGGCGAAGGCGACUCACUGGACAUGUAUUGACGCUGAGGUGCGAAAGCGUGGGGAGCAAACAGG